GAUGAACGCUGGCGGCGUGCCUAAUACAUGCAAGUCGAGCGAACAGACGAGGAGCUUGCUCCUCUGACGUUAGCGGCGGACGGGUGAGUAACACGUGGAUAACCUACCUAUAAGACUGGGAUAACUUCGGGAAACCGGAGCUAAUACCGGAUAAUAAAUUGAACCGCAUGGUUCAAUAGUGAAAGACGGUUUUGCUGUCACUUAUAGAUGGAUCCGCGCCGCAUUAGCUAGUUGGUAAGGUAACGGCUUACCAAGGCAACGAUGCGUAGCCGACCUGAGAGGGUGAUCGGCCACACUGGAACUGAGACACGGUCCAGACUCCUACGGGAGGCAGCAGUAGGGAAUCUUCCGCAAUGGGCGAAAGCUUGACGGAGCAACGCCGCGUGAGUGAUGAAGGUCUUCGGAUCGUAAAACUCUGUUAUUAGGGAAGAACAAAUGUGUAAGUAACUAUGCACGUCUUGACGGUACCUAAUCAGAAAGCCACGGCUAACUACGUG
rnacentral:rRNA from 1 species